rnacentral:rRNA from 1 species
AACGAACGCUAGCGGCAGGCCUAACACAUGCAAGUCGAGCGCGCCCUUCGGGGUGAGCGGCGGACGGGUGAGUAACGCGUGGGAACGUGCCCUUCUCUGCGGAAUAGCCUCGGGAAACUGAGAGUAAUACCGCAUACGCCCUUUGGGGGAAAGAUUUAUCGGAGAAGGAUCGGCCCGCGUUGGAUUAGGUAGUUGGUGGGGUAAUGGCCCACCAAGCCGACGAUCCAUAGCUGGUUUGAGAGGAUGAUCAGCCACACUGGGACUGAGACACGGCCCAGACUCCUACGGGAGGCAGCAGUGGGGAAUCUUAGACAAUGGGGGCAACCCUGAUCUAGCCAUGCCGCGUGAGUGAUGAAGGCCUUAGGGUUGUAAAGCUCUUUCAGCUGGGAAGAUAAUGACGGUACCAGCAGAAGAAGCCCCGGCUAACUCCGUG